rnacentral:rRNA from 1 species
UGGGGAAUAUUGCACAAUGGGGGAAACCCUGAUGCAGCAACGCCGCGUGAGUGAUGACGGUCUUCGGAUUGUAAAACUCUGUCUUCAGGGACGAUAAUGACGGUACCUGAGGAGGAAGCCACGGCUAACUACGUGCCAGCAGCCGCGGUAAUACGUAGGUGGCAAGCGUUGUCCGGAUUUACUGGGCGUAAAGGGAGCGUAGGUGGAUAUUUAAGUGGGAUGUGAAAUACUCGGGCUCAACCUGAGUGCUGCAUUCCAAACUGGAUAUCUAGAGUGCAGGAGAGGAAAGUAGAAUUCCUAGUGUAGCGGUGAAAUGCGUAGAGAUUAGGAAGAAUACCAGUGGCGAAGGCGACUUUCUGGACUGUAACUGACACUGAGGCUCGAAAGCGUGGGGAGCAAACA